UGCAGAGUGUUCUGUGCUGUUUUUAGAUCUCAUCUCCAAAGGCACCUGGUGGUAUCCCUGUUUGCCUCUGUCUGCUGCCUGCGUUUCUGGUCCCAGUCUUCGGGGUGAAAUGGGGGACAGGAGAAAAUCCUCACAACACCUAGAUGUGUUUGAACUGCCCAUGUGCAAUAUUUUGACAAUAUUCAAGUCUCCCUGUGACUCUUCAGAUGAAAAUGAGCUACUAGAACUUGGCUGAGUAAAGUGUGCUGUACAAGUAUAUGCAAUGCCACAUCUAUCUUUUGCUGCCUUGCAACAAUUUACCUAAUACAAUGUUUUAUUAAUAUAUUUCACAUUGUAUGAUUCCAAUGUAGGCCUCUAUGUAAUAUUUUUUUGAUAAAGUGAUGUAAUAUUUUUAGAUAAACG